AGUUUCUCUCGGACCGUCGCGGAAGACGGACGUGCGCUCCGCGCGCUCGCUCAGUUGCUGGCUGGAUCUCGUAGGGAGCAGACGUAUGUUCUCCGCGCUCGCUCAGUUUCUGCCUGGAAGUUGCCGCGGGGGAAAAGGUGAGUGAUUUGACGCGCUCCUUUUCUCGUAUGUUUGCCGUGUUUAGCGGUGACCGCGCUCGUGUUAAGCCUUUUCUCGCAUGUUUAGACUUGUUUUGCGGUGUCCAAGCCCUAUUGUUUCAGGUUGACCUUGUCUAGAGGAGCAUUAGUGGAAAAAAACUGUGUAGCCCUGAGACAAUAGGAUGCCGUUACGACCAAUGAGAACGGCCUGCAGGGGGCGCAAGGAUUCACUUCUCUCUUGGACACUGACGGGUCUCGACACGCAAAUUCUGCUCCUGGCGUUGGCCGUCAGUGGAAGAGCGUAGCUUAGGUGGAUUUUGUGACGAGCGGAUUUACAAUGAGGGAAUGCUGUGAACGGGAAAAAUGAUGGUGAGUGCCUUUUUCACUCUGUUCAAGUGUUUGUUUUCCUCUGUUGCCCAGCAGUCGUACGAAUUUGUCCUGAUAUGCCCCGAUAUGCAUGCUUUCCUUUGUUGACGCUUAGUAUUUUUUUCUUUUUUGACAAGGAACAUUGUCGUCUUGACGAUAGUGCUGCCCCGAGUUCUGCGCGCGUUGAUUUGUUGAGUGCCUAGUCCUCUUAUUAGCCAUUGAUGGAGUUACAUGUUAGGAUGUUUUGUUCUUUUGCAAGUCUCAUUUAGUAAGACUUUGGAAUUCCUACGAUCAGUUUUCAUGCCCCGAUAUGCAUGCUUUCCUUUGUUGACGCUUAGUAUUUUUUUCUUUUUUGACAAGGAACAUUGUCGUCUUGACGAUAGUGCUGCCCCGAGUUCUGCGCGCGUUGAUUUGUUGAGUGCCUAGUCCUCUUAUUAGCCAUUGAUGGAGUUACAUGUUAGGAUGUUUUGUUCUUUUGCAAGUCUCAUUUAGUAAGACUUUGGAAUUCCUACGAUCAGUUUUCAUGCAUGGUGCUCUUCUGCAAUAGUUUCCUAUGCAAUCGUUAUAGAAGAAUAAAGGAAAUAAUCUUGGGAUAGUGAUUCAAUAAAUAAUAGGUCCCCUGUCUAGAGCGCACGCGUCCUUGAGCCACGCAGGUGCAUGAUGACGUCAUACCGUGGCUUCACUGCAGAUUGACCAAAGGAGCAUUAGUGGAAAAAAACAGUGUAGCCCUGAGACAAUAGGAUGAUGUCUGGACCAAUGAGAACUGCCAGCAGGGGGCGCAGGAAUGCUCUUCUCACUUAGCCUCACGACCAAUGAGAACGGCCAGCAGGGGGCGCAGGAAUGCUCUUCUCUCUUAGCCUCUCGCAGGUGGCGGUAGGAGCGCGCAGAGGGCGCUACGAGCGCGCGCAUGCGUAGCACCCGUAGAGUGGCGCUUACGUCAGUCCACCUCUGGCUCUCGUUGGGAAAAGACGUGCGGUCGUUCGCUCCGUCGUCACUUGAUCCCUGGCUGUCGACGAGAGCAGUCGCAUCGGUCUGCGCUCCUGCUGUGGUGAGGUGAUUUGUUGCGUAACUAAUGCUUUCGUCAACUUUGUUCCCGCUUUGUUUGCGAUUUUCGUGCCAGUGCUGGUUGCUGUUGUCCGGGCAUUCCCGCCAUUUUCUAUCAUCUUCUGCCUUGGGACCGGGAGUAGCGCUGGCGUGAUUCUUAAUAAUUUUGUUGUGAGAUUAGUUGAGAAAGUAACCGCUAGGGGGUGCAGCUGCGGGGCUUUAUACAGGACAAAAAAGCAUUACGAGUCAGUUUCUGCCUGCCUCUCGGAUGGAGCAGUCGCAUGGUUCUGCGCUCCUGUUCUGGUGGGCUCAUUUGUUGUGUAACUAAUUGUUUUUUCUUGUUAGCUAAUGAUGGUUUGCAUACUCUUGCUUUCCCAGCCUCUGUAUUACGAGUGUUUUUCUCCUUGCAUGUCCAGAGCUGUCCUAACUUGCCCAGACAUGCCAUGAUGACGUCACAGCUGACGUCACAGGAUGUCCGGAACUUGUGGUCAUAGCUGGGAUGCUUUGCAACCUGCCUCUGUGCUCCGUCGCCCGGCGAUGGUCAGCGGCCUUUCCGGGCCGCUUCCUUCAAGAUGGCGUCGUUGAUCUUCAACUAAACUCCUUCUCUCCAAACCUGCCUCUGUGCUCCGUCGCCCAGCGACGGUCAGCGGCCGUUCCGGGCCGCUUUCUUCAAGAUGACAUCGUUGAUCUUCAACUAAACUCCUUCUCUCCACUCUAUCUCUAUCUUUUUAUUUUAUUUGCUACCUAUUUUUUUAUUUUUUAUCAGCUCAACUAGCCCACAACUCACACAGUGGUCUGGACACGUCCUAGAUGCGCCCCAAUUAGUGUAAUGACUCCCUGAAUGAUCCUGAUUAAUGUGGGGGGUCCCAAUUAGCUCUAAUUGCUCAUUAAUGGCGUCCAGACGAAGAUGUGAGUUGUGGGCCAGUUGAGCUGAUCCCAUACUACUCUCAGCAGACGUUGACUGGCGACCACUUCAGUUUGUCCAGGCAAUGACUGGGGUACGCUUCUGCGAUUUGUGCGGAGUUUUGCCGAGAAACCUGCACCUCCUUGAAUGCACCCAUGGAUUCUGCCAUCACUGCUUCAACCAGCUGCUUGUGAAACCCUGCAAGUGCCCGUUUGACAAACGUCGCUUCACAGCCAGAGAGGUGCAAACCUUCGAGUUCACCGAGAGCGAACUGUUGCAGUUCGAAGUCCACUGCUGGAACUACGCCGACGGCUGCGAUUUUGUAGGUGAUUACCUCUCAAUGACAUGUCAUUUUCUCAACGACUGCUCUCGGCAUUCAGUUGGCUGUCCUCGUUGCAAGUACAGAGUUCGUCGCAGUGAAAUCCUUGAGCACAACAGCACAGAAUGCAAGCGUUCGUGUGCUGAACAAGGAAUGAACAAGUCUCACGCCAAGGACUUCGUAGCAGACGAUAUUGUUCGAGUAAGCCAAGAUAUGCAGCGAAGAGUGAUAUCGUUCUGCAACGAUCAGGAGACCCUGCAAAAUAAAGCGAACGCUUUAUCCUCAAGUAUCAAAUGCUUAGGAAAGAAGCUGCUACAGGUGAAAAAGGUCGCGGAAAACGCUGUCAAUGCGUGCAACGUACAGAAACAAGAUGCACUUCGUGCCGUUCAGGUCAGUGUCUCAGGGGACGAGAGAAAAGUGACCAACAAAAAUUUAAGUCAUGUCGGAGUAUCAAACCCUGCGGCAGCGAAAGGGGAGGAGGAGGAGGAAACAGCGGGUGGUGUGACUGGACCACGUGGUCUGGACAGACCAAGAAGCACAAGAAGACGAAAAGGACUAAGAAGUAAAAGGCAACGGUAAAGCGUCUGAUAAACAGGGCAGGGCAGAUGUCAUCUCGACACGCAAUGACGUAUUCAUUGGGUGUACGUUGGACCCUUCGCGCUUCUUCGUGUUUCUGUAAACCCCGUAUUCGUUGUACCAGUUUCGUAUAAACUGGAAGGUGCUCCCCACGUGCUCCAGGUGCUGCUCCUGGUCGCGUCGCUUUCCGUCCCGUUAAACUGAUGUAGCCGAAAGAGACACACAGCUAAUUCCAAAUCAAAAAUUCAUCGGCGUCGUACAAGCCGUGCCCAGUAUUUUGUUCGUCGUUAUUUUUAACAGUAACUAGUUUUUAAAUUGUGGUGGACCUGCAUCAAGCAAUGGGACAGAAAUGUACGUUGACUCGUUCAUGGCGUAAUAUACGCUGUCCUCGCAACUGCAACUCAGUCUCUCUUAUUUCGUGUGCAAGUUGUUGCAAGUUGUGUUAAAGUUGCCCUUCGAACAAGUACUCAGUUAUAUUGCUGUAAAAAGCAGGAGAAAAUCUUCACCAUUGUCCACUUGUGCAAUGCCACUACUGACUGACAUUGUUUUUGAUUAUAAAUCAACCUCGUUACAAGAUUUAGUGCCCAAAAAAUAUAAAUUCUAUGAGCGAACGUCCACGAAUUUUCCAAGCAACCCGCACAGCUGCAUGGUUUCCGAUUGGCCAAGCCCUCUCCCCAUUCAACGUCUGAACACUGCUCUGUAGUUGGACGUCUGUCGGCAGCAAAUGCCACACGCAUUGCAGAUUGCGCGCCUUAAUUGUGAGCGACAGUGUCGUCGUCAUCACCUCCGUGGACUCAUCACCACGACCAUCGUGGCAGCAACGCGUAACGGUCUGCCUGAGUACUAGCUCCUCCCUUUGGAGCGUCGUUAUCUGGCAUGUAAGAUAGUGUCUGUGUAAAAGGGGCUGCCUCCAUAGGGAGUUCUAUUGCUUGAUGACAAUACACACUAGCUCCUAGCCGCCCUAGCGCGUAAAAGCCACGAGGGCCGCGCAAGCCCGGAGUUCAUCGGGCAUCGUCGACGAGAACCCUUAAUUCGGCCCUGUGCCACCCAACAGCCGCAAUAAACAAAAUGGGUAUUGCCUUCCUUCCACUCGCCUGCUGAUUCUGGCUUGACGAGUACGUCACCGGGAUCACGGCUUUUACUGCCGCCGUCCAUCGGCGACCAAGUGGGCCACGUCGUCUUCCGGUUUUUGCCUUACACCCUAUGGCGUCACACUUCUCAGAACUAGAAGUUAAUUUUACGAUUCGUCCGCUUUACACGGAGAAAUAAUAUUCUGCGAGUGUGAGAUAACAAUAAUACAGUGUGAGAUACGUGGAUACUUCGGUGCUGCAGACGUGCCUAUCCCAUGGGCGAUGAAUCCGUACAGGAUGAACAAUUGCCUUACAUUCAGCUGUCCACCCAGAGUUCAUUCCAUUUGGAAACGGUGCCAACUACUGGACGUGUAUAUCCCGUGCUCCAUUUGUACGCCAUUGUACGCCCCGGCCUACGUUUUUGUACACGUAGAUGCAAAAGGGAAGGCGAUUUGCCGUCCCCAUAGGCGCGUCCGCCUGCACGGAUCUACGGGGGUGGGGGAUGGACACCCCAUCAAUUCCAGACUUGAACAUAAGGUUCGGUGGACCAAUCCCGGCAUGCACGCGGCACUUGUCCAAAGCGCCCCCCCCCCCCCCACCUCGCGAAAACCCUAGAUCCGCCCCUGCGUGUCCGUAUUCGAAGAUGCAUAAGAAAAUGAGGAUUAAAGGGGUUGAGGCACUUUCAUAUAGUUACAUCAUGGACGCGUUGUAUUACACGCCAGAACACAGACGAAAAAAAAAAAAAAUAGUCUUCUACGUGUCGUACUUAGCGAGAUACAGGCCCUCCAACGCACUCCAGAGCUACGCGCAGACGUCACAUUUCGUUCAUUCCCAUUGGCAGCAGUAAGCACGUGACUCCUCGUGCGCUGCCCCAAUGGCGGCGGUGAGGGCCGUGAUGUGUGAGCUGCAUGAGUGUCGGUAUCCGCGAUGCCUAUUUUCUCCGUUUCUACUACCCUCGUCGCUGUGAAAGUUUCAAUGCACGUUCACAUCGGUGCAAGUCACCGUUUCUUUUUUUUUUUUUUUUAAUGUGUAAUGUUUAUCUGGGAUAACCUGGGAUGACCUGUCGAUACCCCUUUAAGCAGGACGAAUACGAACAUGGUCCCUGUGCGUCUCCGUGCGUUGUCAGACUUCGUUCGUGUCCGCCUUCGUGUCCGCACUGUCGGGCCUUUCCUUAUUGAUCUAUGCCACCGUGUUUUUAACAAUUCUUUCCGCAUGCACCUUUUUUUGCUACAGUGCUCGCUAUAGUGAGAGGUUCAUUGCAGCCUUAUAGUUUUUUUACUUUCCUAUCGUAUUACCGCGAAUAAUUUGUAUUAAUCGGCUUUGACAGUAAUUAUUGUUCAUAUGGCCGGUUGGGUAAGCCUGAUUGUUUCAUGAUGUUUGAAGAGUUCAAUACUGUAUUGUCCGGACAGUAGGAAUAGAGCUGCCACAGUGGCGCUAUAACGUGAUGUACUCACUAGUCCUUACGCCAAAAUUAAGUGAAGCUGUGCUAUCUUCACAAGUGGGCUUCAACAGACAACUUUCCAUUCACUCUGGUCUGCUCCUUCGUGUUAUUCCGUGUUCCCCCAAUCUGUACCGCUGCACCACUCCUCACAAACUCAAGGGGAUGUUCCAAGGUAUAUCUAAACUGGUAGCGAAAAUAAGUGAAAAUACUAAAUCAGACCCAUCGGCAAGGCUACCAUCAUAAGGCGCGAGCGAUCCUAGGUGUUGACAGUAGAGGUACGAUCGUAAACACAAAAACUUUAGAACGCGGGCAUGGGUUGUGUGCGCACCAAUAGGUUAUUCAUAAUCUCAAUGUAGAAAAACCUUUUUGUUGCCCCACUCGUGCACUUUUACGAAAUCAUCUUAGCACCCGAGUACAUUUCCGUAUCCUGCUCCUUUACGCAUGUAUCACAGUGGGCGUGUUUAUCCAUGCAUCUGUGUAUCCGUGCCGUGUGUCCGUGCAUUGUAAUGCGGAGUUCGUACACUUUUUGGGUUAAACAGGAAGCGACGUUCGCAUUUCGGAGCUGUAGGCUAAGAUUAACACGUGUACACUGAUGAAUACAAUGCACCCCUGUUAAUGACCCCGCGAAAAAAGAAAAAAAAACAAUUCGCGGGACGAGCGGCCAUGAUAGCGUGAGUGUUAGCAGGAAUCAGCUGUGCACCAACGAUGUCAUGUUUUGUUGCAAUGGCCACCCACUGAAUAAAUGCAAACGUCUAAUCA